rnacentral:rRNA from 1 species
UCCAGACUCCUACGGGAGGCAGCAGUAGGGAAUAUUGCUCAAUGGGGGAAACCCUGAUGCAGCAACGCCGCGUGAGUGAAGAAGUAUUUCGGUAUGUAAAGCCCUAUCAGCAGGGAAGAAAAUGACGGUACCUGAGUAAGAAGCCCCGGCUAACUACGUGCCAGCAGCCGCGGUAAUACGUAGGGGGCAAGCGUUAUCCGGAUUUACUGGGUGUAAAGGGAGCGUAGACGGCGAUGCAAGUCUGAAGUGAAAGCCCGGGGCUCAACCCCGGGACUGCUUUGGAAACUGUACGGCUGGAGUGCAGGAGAGGUAAGUGGAAUUCCUAGUGUAGCGGUGAAAUGCGUAGAUAUUAGGAGGAACACCAGUGGCGAAGGCGGCUUACUGGACUGUAACUGACGUUGAGGCUCGAAAGCGUGGGGAGCAAACAGGAUUAGAUACCCUUGUAAC